rnacentral:lncRNA from 1 species
AUUUUUUCAACAUUUUUUCCUUCUUUAAUUUGGUUCAUUUGUAUCUCCCUUUGCUGUUUAUUGAGUAGAAAUUCUGAUUUUUGUAGCAAAGGGAGAACAAACAAACAACACACAGAAUAUUCUGUAUUUAAUGCUGCAAUUGUCUCUAUGGUUGCAAUGUGUAGGUGGGGUGCAUUCAAGUGGGCUUGUGGUAUUUGUGUGUGUGUGUGUGUGUAUGUGUGUGUGUGUGUUGGAAGAAUAUAUAUUGAGGAUGAUUCCUAAUUUUAUCACUUUGUUGAGGAACUGAAAUUGUGGCUACACAUUCACUCUAAAUAUUUUGUCUCACAGUCCCCUCCCUUCAACAAUUAUAUACAGUACACUAUUUGUUGGAAGCUCAGGAGAAAAAGGGCAUUUAAGAGCAUGAGAUUUGGUGGCAGACUGACCUAAUAGUAGAUGGUACCAGUGAGAUCUUGAGCAACGUAAAUGUUUCAACUGAAAAACGAAAACCUUUUUUUGGAAAGAAUCGAAACUAAAAACCCAACUAUUUAAAAAAUGGAAACUUUUGGCCGGGAACGGAGGCUCACACCUAUAAUCUCAGCACUUUGGGAGGCCGAAUGGGCGGAUCACAAGGUCAAGAGAUUGAGACCAUCCUGGCCAACGUGGUGAAACUCCGUCUCUACUAAAAAUACAAAAGUUAGCUGGGCAUGGUGGCACAUGCCUGUAGUCCCAGCUACUCGGGAGGCUGAGGCAGAAGAAUCGCUGGAACCCAGGAGGCGGAGGUUGCAGUGAGCCGAGACAGCACCACUGCACUCCAGACUGGCGACAGAGUGAGACUCCAUCUAAAAAAAAAAAAAAGGAACCUUUUGCCUUACUUCGUUUGCUAGCUACAUUCAAGUCUGCAAUUAAGCUCGGUGUUUUGCCUUUCUCAAACUGUGCACAGGUCCUCUUGUUUGUUCCCCUUCUCUCUGUUGCCUAGGAAUACAGCCAAAAACUUGAGUAAUAGAUGAUAGAUGGGUCUGUCACUAAGCACAUCCUAGUGACAUAGAUAAGAAGCAAAUGCUACAAAAUUAUAGGUGCAAACUACAAGUUGUGUUUUAAUUGGUUUUAACAAGUACUUAUAAGCAGAAGAACUGUGAAAAAUCUAACAUUUUGUCCUACUUGCAAGCCUGCCAGUCUUUUGAGUGCUGGGCAAAGACACAAUAGUGCUGGGUCAGAGACAAUUAACUUUACUACUCACAUUAAUAGCAUUAGCAAGAGUAUCAUGAUUUUCUUGCACUGAUUCCUCAAGCCGCAAUUCCCACAGAAAAGCUCAGGUGACACCUACAUGCUCAGUGGGUUGCAUUAGAAAAGAGGAACGCAGAGCUCAGGAAACAUGGAUAUUUUAUAAUGGCCAGUAAAGAUGUCCCUUUGCUUUAGAAAGAGGCACUACCUCUAUCCAAGGCUGCAAGCACACCUGCCUUUUGUUUUAGAAGGAGAAAUGAUUUCUAUCUUCCAAGGCUGUUCACUAUAUGAAAAGACAGUCCCAAACAAAAGGCAGUUACUGACUUGCUUGAAAAAUGUGCAGAAAUGAUACGCUGCUUGAAUGUGGACAGCUGACACAGGGACAAGGAGUAAAAAUGAUUAGGUUUUGAGCUUGACCAACUAGGAAGAUAAUUAUUAGCAGUAGAGAAAAAAAGAACAAAGUAGAUUUUAGGGCAGAUAAGCCAUUUUUUAGGUAGGUUGAGUCUGAGAUGCCUCCAUAAAUAUAAGUUGAAAAUAUGAGAUUGGAGUUGAGACUUCAGAAAUACAUAUUUUGAGUAGUUACACUACAGAGGUAAGUCAUCAGAGUUCAUAAAAUUAAAGUGAGAAAAAGAGGCAAGUGAAGAAAAACAAGAUGGCAUUGCAUGAAGAACUUUCUUAGGAAGGAAGGCAGCAAAGAGGUAAAAUUGGAGGUGUAGUCAGAGAUGGAAGAUGAAAAAGGAAAAUAACAAUAUUUCAGAAAUGAAAUGAAAAAGGUCUUUUACUAAGUAAUUGGUACUACUACUUGUCAGUUUCAAGUGCUGUAAAAAAAAUGGGAAGAACCACACAUGUGCACUUUCAGUACUAUGUAUUUUAUGCUUCAGGGAUGCAUACCUGUUUAACAAAAGUAUGUUUUUUCUCAAAGUGUGUUGAAUAGUCCAGAAAAAGAUGGAGGUAGAAGUCAGACUUCAGGAGAUAAAGGAACCAGAAAGAUCAUUGAAGGCUGUGAUGGUAGAAAACAUUUUGACAAAGAGUUGUGCAAUGAGAAAGCUAGGGGUGGGACAAUUAAUUUUGAGGGUAACAAUUGGGGAUUUGAGUAGAUUUUUUGCUUCUGUUCUUUAAUUGUUUUGUCUUCUUUUUAAAGAAACCAAGAGACUGUUAAUGUAGUAGGAGCAGAGUUUCACAAUACAGAGCAGAGAGGGUGUUGGUUGAUAAAGAAUUGUCUCAAAUGAGAGGAAAAGAAUGGAGCCAAUAACAGAGAUGAUGUUUAAUUUGGGAAAGGUGGGACAUGUUAACAUGAGUCCAGAGAACUAAAAUGAGCUUAUGGCAUGCAGAUGCUGAAGAUGAAGAAAGGAAAGGAAGGAAAAGGAGGAAUUUAUAUUUAUUUAUUGAAUAAUCUUGUAAAACUGUUAAUCACCCCUUUUUACUGACGAUAAGACAUAAAUGUCAGAGGUGUUUUGCCUAAAGUAAAAAAUUCGAUAGUCAAGCUGGGUUUAAAACCAUAUCAGUCUUACGUCAAAGCAUGUUUUAAUUGCUGUUGUGUGGUUGUGAUUUUAAGGGAAGAAGAAGAGUUUUAUAAUGGGUUCUCUGAAAAAUAAAAUAUCAAUUAGAAAGAAACAAAACAACUGCUGAGAAGCAGUGAAUCCAAGCAGAAUCUGAGUAUCAUCACUUUUUAGUUAAACUAACCAGUCCAAUAUCCUGAUUUUUCUUUAACAGGCAAAGAAUUUUUGAGUCUUUCCCAUAGACUGAGUUCUUGUGAACUAUUUUACAGCAAUAAUGGCAUCCAAUCCUAUAGAUAACAAUAACAAAGCUGCAGACCAUUUUGUUGCCAGGUUUCUCCUCCAGGGUGGCUUUCCAGCUAGUUUGUAAACAAAUAACUCAGGUGGCCCUGUCAUGUUACAUUAACUAAAAACCAAGUCUAAAGCACACAUAUAAUAACAUAUGUGUGUGCAAACUGGCUUGCUUUCAAAUUCCUAAAUCAUACAAUUAAAUUUUAAAAAUAACUGUAUUUGGAAACAAGAAAAAAGUCACUUUGACACCCAACUGAUGUAUAUAAAGGAGACUGUGCAUAUGGGUUUUAAAAUGAGAUGAAAAUUGAAAUUUGAUCUUUGAGAUUAAAAACAAUGUUAUUUAAAAAAAAUUCCUUUAAAAUAAAUGGAAAAGAAAAUAUCUGUGUAAAUAGAUUAAAGCGAUUCCUGCUCACCACUCCCUUUCUCCCUGGGGCAGGAGACUUGAGCACAUCAAAGGAACUCAUAGCGUUCUUGGAGUAAGUGUGAAAGCCACCGUGAUGAACUAAAUGAAUGCUUACAUCUAAAGAAAGAUGUAAACAUAUUACAUUAAAAGGUGGCAUGACAUAAUGGUAUAUCACUGAUUAAGAAAUGUGAGGCGACUUUCAUGUGCCACUGAUAAAUCAUUAUAAUUUGACAUAGUAGAUAAUGCCCCUAUAUUUCAUCUGCAUACCUGGAAAAUGAGGACUUUCAAAACAUAUUCCUGCCAGUUACAGUCAGGUAUUGCAAAACAAGCAUUUAGUGAGCAUCUAAACUGAAGCUUAGAACUUCAGUUUUGUGGCGGGGCGCGGUGGCUCACGCCUGUAAUCCCAGCACCUUGGGAGGCCAAGACAGGCGGAUCACUUGAGGUCAGGAGUUUGGGACCAGCCUGGCCCACAUGGUGAAACCCCAUCUCUACUAAAAAUACAAAAAUUAGCCAGGCAUGGUUGCACGCACCUGUAGUCCCAGUUACUCAGGUGGCUGAGGCAGAAGAAUCGCUUGAACCUGGGUGGUGGAGAUUGCAGUGAGCUGAGAUCCUGCCACUGCACUCCAGCCUGGGCAAGAGAGUGAGACUCCAUCUCAAAAAAAUAAAGAACUCCAAUUUUAUUUUCUUCAUGGCAUAGCAUAAUAGAUGAGUUAACAAAUUAAUGAAACAGAUUGACAUGUGUUAAUUGCAAUCAUAUACAGAACAGAAAUCAUUUCCAUAAAAUAUUUAACCUGCCUGUUACUUCCCCUAAAUCUCUCUGUAGCUGAUGCCCCAAUUUCACUAUUAGCUCUUCAGACUUGGAUGUUAAGCACUGUGCCUUCCCCUGGACCUCUCUUUAAAUGUCACAGCUAUUUCUGGCAGGUAAGACUAUUGCUUUGGUUAGUGUGAACACACACCACUGUGGAUCACAAGGCACCUGAGAGAAAAGGCUGCCGAAAGCAGGAAAAUAACUCAGAAAAAAGAAAAAAAAACACAUGGUGCUGAAAAAUACAACAGAUAUGCAUUUGUAUACUUAUGAUCUAAUUUAUGUCAGUCAUUAAAAGAAAAUAAGGUGUUUAGAAAAUACAGUGCUGUCUAUGGUUAUAUUUAAUAUUGUGACCACUUAAUACAAAGCAAAGCAUUCUUGCUUGCUCUCAUGGAGAGUGCAAUUUAGAAUUGAGAGCUCAAUUUCUAAGGAGGGUUUAUGUACUCUAUCUUGAGGCACACCAAGGAGAUUGAGUUUACCAGUUUAGAAAGCACUGCCAUAAUUCAAGUCAGGGAGAGGGCUGAUGGAAGAUUUUUAAAAGAUUUUAAAAGAUCAUGAGGGCAAGCUGGCUUUUAACAAAACAAAAUAUUUCCAUGUGGCUUCUGGCUGACUGAAUUAAUAAGGCCCAGAGACUGAUCUGAAGGCAAAAGCCUUUAUUUUUUAUUGCAAUGGAGAAAAACUGAACAUUAUUUGACUAUCAGUUGUGAAGUUUAGUAAAAAGAUUUUCACUAAUGGGUGGUUUUAAUAUUUAUGAAUGUGAUGGUUCAGCAAAUUUUCUCCAAUGUUUUGCAAGACCACUAAUUAAUAAUCAUCUUUACAAAUGGAACAUGUAAUUGUCUGCUACUAUUUUUUCUUUGCCAAUGCUUAAUACUUAUUUUGAAUACGUUUUAUUUUUUUUCUAAAUUUCUCUAUUUAUUUCUACCUGAGCAUUUCUUAAUUUUUUUAUUCAGUCCUGUUAUUCUCACUGUAGGAUUUUUAAAAGCUGGUAUAUUAUAUUAAAAUCCUUCAACUGUGAAUUCAGCAAUGUUUUGAGUUCCAGGGAUUCAUCUGGCAUUAGGCUGACCUUGUCAAGCAUAAACAUCAACAUUAAAGAAAAUAUUUAAGAAAUGAAAGGCCUGAAUCAAAAUAAGAGGUCAAAUUUUCCAGGGUGUUUUGUGUCUUGAAAAUCUUUCUGCUGUAAUUACCUAAAGACUGUGGUUAGAUAAUUAUUGAGGGACUUUUGCAAUUGUCCCUUUUCUCUAUAUAGAUCACCACAUUAAUUAAACGAGAGUCUCACUGGGAACAGGUUGCUGUUCUGCAUCUUUAAGUAUUUUUAGUACUUUAUUUUCAAAAGAGAAAAAGAACCACUAAGAAGAAGAUUGCUUCUCAGCCAAAUUUUCUGAUAUACAGAUAUUCUCAAAAGACAAGCACACACACACACGCACACACACACACACACACACACACACACACCCCCCAAGGCUCUGGAAUGUGCCUUAACAAUCUUAUUUUUGCACAUUUUAAAAGGAGGUCAUUAUGAAAUUUGCACAUAUUUUAUGACCUGUAAUGUACUUCUCUGAUCUGAUUUCACUUGAGCUAAUAAAAAAAUACAAAUCAGGUGCUUGCUGUGAUCAAGAUGCUAAAGUUAUAUUUACACUGCUUCAUAAAUGUAAGGUGUUAAAGCUUAGUGAGACAAGAAGUAAACUGAUAAUUGAUUAACCAGGGUGCUAUACAAAUCUACCUAGAGGGUGCCUUCCCAGGUUAAUGCAAUUAUGGGAGAAAGAUCCUGGCUCCUGGCUACAGAAAUGCCAACUAAAGUGUUAUCCACCCCAUCCUUCACUUUGGAGGAUGCGUUAAGAUGACACUGUGCUGUGUCAAAAUGAAAAUACAAACAAAAGCAAAUAAACCGAGUGAUAAUAAAUAAACCGAGUGACUCAGUUUCCUUAUCCAUUUUCCAGUUACCUUUUUUUUUUUAGGCCAGUCUGCAUGUCCACUAGAAGAAAAGGGACCUGGGUUCUUCAUCAGCCCAUCCUUAGAUCUUAGUGCACAUAUGCACCUAGUAAGUGCCGAGCAAAUAUUCAAUGAAUGACUGUACCUUUCCUAAGAAUUCUUCGUUGAUUAUCCUUCAACAGAGCUAACUUCUCUCCCUAUGUGCUCAGUCAAAUGCUCUCCCAUUGGACUGAGUUCAGCAUAAACUGCCAUGUUUUGAGAUGAUUGGUGUAAGCGAAUGUCCUCUCCUGAGUUGCGAGAAUCUAAGAGCAGGACAACAUCACAUGCUUCUCUACUUUCUAUAGUUCUUUUGUCCACUGUCUAACAAAUAAUGCCAAGUGAAAAAGGGAAAAAUGAAUGAAUAAAUUUUGUAAGAUGCCAAUGGAAAAAAACAGAAAAUCAAGAGUUACUAAAAAAAACCACUAACUCCAUUUAAUUGUUUUAGACUAAGAAUCCCUCAGUGAUACCUAGCCAAAAUUAGGAUUCAGAUCCAAAAUAAAAGAUACUGUUGCCCCAAGUAGAUAUCAUAAUUUGUUACAAUAAGUAAAAAUGUAUAUUAUUCAAUACUAAACUGUUAUACCACAUUUCAAGUUUUUAAAACUUUAUCUUCCUUUUAUGCAUAGAUAGUAGUAGAGCAUUAAGAACAUGCAUGGCUAUCACCUGAGGUGUUGAUUGUAAAUUCACAUUCCUAGGCUUUGUCUCUUAACUACUGAAUCGGAAUCUUUGGGAGUGAACUGACAGGAAUCUGAAUUUUAAAAAUAAGGUCUUCAGGUGAUUCUCAUGCAUCUAAAGAUAACUGCUUUAAUAUAUAACAAAGAAACCCAAAGAGGGACACUUGAGGAUUUUUUCAAUAUAUCUUCUUUUGCAGAGAUUAAUAGUGAAUGUUGUUUUAUCUGCUGUUUAGAAUUUUACAUAUGCAUUGGAUGAUACAUCUUCUUUUACUGACAAAAAGGCUUUUCUCUGGAGAAAAUAAAAAGGCAGCUUUCCCUGAGAGCACACACUUCUAGCAAAGCCCCAAUCCAUAUGACUCUAAGACAGAGUGAUUUCCACCUUCUAGUCCUUACUUUCUUGCAAAAGGGGCUUUCAAAUCUCAUUACUGAUGGUCCCAUCUUUUAUUACUGGUGUUAUCAAUGGGAUGCUUGCAGCAGCUUAAGUAUGUGGAUAAAGAAGGAAUGCACAAUAUACGGUACUGAAUAUUUUUAAAAAGUGGUCUUUCAGAAUGUCUGUAUGUGUGGGGGCCCAUGCUUAGGCAUAUGUGCAUGCCAGUGUGUUAUUUAUGUUGAAACCAAUGUUUUACAUUAAUGGCUGGAAUUCCAGAAAAAUAAGAAAAUAUUUGUAUUUUCUAAACCAUUAAAAGUUUAGUGGAACUCAUUAAUAGUCUGUAUCAUCUCUCUGUAUAUUUCAGAAGUACAUUUUAAGUGUAACAGCUAGGGGUAAACUUUCAUAACUGUAUGAUUUGAACACAAGUACAAGAAAUAUUCAAGGUUUUCUUUUCUUUUUUUUUUUUAGAUGAAGUCUCACUCUUAUCGCCGUAGCUAUAGUGCAAUGGCGCUGUCUCAGCUCACUGCAACCUCCGCCUCCUAGGUUAAAGCAAUUCUCCUGCCUCAGCCUCCGUAGUAGCUGGGAUUACAGGAUCCUGCCACCACACCCACUAAUUUUUGUAUUUUUGGUAGAGAAUGGGUUUCACCAUGUUGGACAGGCUGGUCAUGAACUCCUGACCUCAGUCGAUCCACCCGCCUUGGCCUCCCAAAGUGCUGGAUUACAGGUGUCCACCGCGCCUGGCCAAUAUUCAAGUUUACACAGGAAAAAGAAUACUUUCUCUGCAUAACCUUUACUUAUUUACUCAUAAGCCUCUAGUUCUCUCUGGAUUUGACUGUAAAUCUCAACACAUUUCCCAGAAACUAACAUCUUCUGGCUGACUUCUAUUAAAAAUUCAGACAAAGAAAAAAACUGAAUACAAUGGAGAGAGAUUAUAAUACUGCUAUUCUCCCAUUCUCUCUCUCUACAGCAUAUCACCUCCUCCAAAAUCAGUUCAUAUCUAACUCCUAGCACAUUUUUAGUUAAAAAUAUACAUGCACAAAAUAUAUGUGUAAAUACACAUGCUGAUAUCACACAUAUGUGUGUGUGUGUGUGUAUAUAUAUAUACACAAAAGCAGAUAUAUAUAUAUAUAUAUAUAUACACAAAAGCAGAUAUAUAUAUAUGCUUUCUU